UUCCGGUUGAUCCCGCCGGACCUGACUGCUAUCGGAUUGAUACUAAGCCAUGCGAGUCAUUGUAGCAAUACAAGGCAGACGGCUCAGUAACGCGUAGUCAACCUAACCUAUGGACGGGAAUAACCUCGGGAAACUGAGAAUAAUGCCCGAUAGAACACUAUGCCUGGAAUGGUUUGUGUUCCAAAUGAUUUAUCGCCGUAGGAUGGGACUGCGGCCUAUCAGUUUGUUGGUGAGGUAAUGGCCCACCAAGACUAUUACAGGUACGGGCUCUGAGAGGAGUAGCCCGGAGAUGGGUACUGGGACACGGACCCAGGCCCUAUGGGGCGCAGCAGGCGAGAAAACUUUGCAAUGUGCGAAAGCACGACAAGGUUAAUCCGAGUGGUUUCUGCUAAAGGAACCUUUUGUCGGUCCUAGAAACACCGAUGAAUAAGGGGUGGGCAAGUUCUGGUGUCAGCCGCCGCGGUAAAACCAGCACCUCAAGUGGUCAGGAUGAUUAUUGGGCCUAAAGCAUCCGUAGCCUGCUUUGUUAGUUUUCGGUUAAAUCUGUACGCUCAACGUACAGGCUGCCGGGAAUACUGCAAAGCUAGGGAGUGGGAGAGGUAGACGGUACUCGGUAGGAAGGGGUAAAAUCCUUUGAUCUAUUGAUGACCACCUGUGGCGAAGGCGGUCUACCAGAACACGUCCGACGGUGAGGGAUGAAAGCUGGGGGAGCAAACCGGAUUAGAUACCCGGGUAGUCCCAGCCGUAAACCAUGCAAACUCAGUGAUGCAUUGGCUUGUGGCCAAUGCAGUGCUGCAGGGAAGCCGUUAAGUUUGCCGCCUGGGAAGUACGUACGCAAGUAUGAAACUUAAAGGAAUUGGCGGGGGAGCACCACAAGGGGUGAAGCCUGCGGUUCAAUUGGAGUCAACGCCGGG
rnacentral:rRNA from 1 species